rnacentral:snRNA from 1 species
GGAAGUGUUUGGGUGUGAGGGUACAUCAGUCACACCACUGAUCCUAGUGUCGACUCAGCUGAUCUGCCUGGCUGCGUGGGCACCCCCUACCUCCCUCACUGCUCCACAUGUGUCCCUCUGGAAGCUGUGCACUCCAUUGAAGAGAGCGACCUUCUCCAUAGAAGGAGGACUGUCCUUCGGUCAAGGGUGUAGCAGUUGCAUUCCCCUGUUAGGACCUCCAAACAAGCUCUCCAAGAGGCAGCAUUGAACCAAGGACAAAGAGGGUUGCUUAAGACAGAGGGACUGAAACAGGAAACAUAU